AUUGAACGCUGGCGGCAUGCUUUACACAUGCAAGUCGAACGGUAACAGGCCGCAAGGUGCUGACGAGUGGCGAACGGGUGAGUAAUGCAUCGGAACGUGCCCAGUCGUGGGGGAUAACGCAGCGAAAGCUGUGCUAAUACCGAAUCCGAUCUAUGGAUGAAAGCGGGGGACCGUAAGGCCUCGCGCGAUUGGAGCGGCCGAUGUCAGAUUAGCUAGUUGGUGGGGUAAAGGCCCACCAAGGCGACGAUCUGUAGCUGGUCUGAGAGGACGACCAGCCACACUGGGACUGAGACACGGCCCAGACUCCUACGGGAGGCAGCAGUGGGGAAUUUUGGACAAUGGGCGCAAGCCUGAUCCAGCAAUGCCGCGUGCAGGAAGAAGGCCUUCGGGUUGUAAACUGCUUUUGUACGGAACGAAACGGUCUGGGUUAAUACCCUGGGCUAAUGACGGUACCGUAAGAAUAAGCACCGGCUAACUACGUGCCAGCCGCCGCCGUAACAC
rnacentral:rRNA from 1 species